rnacentral:tRNA from 1 species
UAAGACCUGCAGGACUCUAUCCCACAUCACCUGAAUGCAACUCAAGUACUUUUAUUAAGCUAAGACCUU